rnacentral:rRNA from 1 species
UAGCUAGUUGGUGAGGUGAAGGCUUACCAAGGCGACGAUCUGUAGCGGGUCUGAGAGGAUGAUCCGCCACACUGGAACUGAGACACGGUCCAGACUCCUACGGGAGGCAGCAGUGGGGAAUUUUGGACAAUGGGGGCAACCCUGAUCCAGCCAUGCCGCGUGAGUGAAGAAGGCCUUCGGGUUGUAAAGCUCUUUCGGCCGGGAAGAAAUCGCAUGGGCCAAUACCCUGUGUGGAUGACGGUACCGGAAUAAGAAGCACCGGCUAACUACGUGCCAGCAGCCGCGGUAAUACGUAGGGAGCGAGCGUUAAUCGGAAUUACUGGGCGUAAAGCGUGCGCAGGCGGUUUUGUAAGACAGGCGUGAAAUCCCCGGGCUUAACCUGGGAACUGCGUUUGUGACUGCAAGGCUAGAGUACGGCAGAGGGGGGUGGAAUUCCACGUGUAGCAGUGAAAUGCGUAGAGAUGUGGAGGAACACCAAUGGCGAAGGCAGCUCCCCUGGGUCGAUACUGACGCUCAUGCACGAAAGCGUGGGUAGCAAACAGGAUUAGAUACCCUGGUAGUCCACGCCCUAAACUAUGUCAACUAGGUGUUGGGUGGGUAAAACCAUUUAGUACCGUAGCUAACGCGUGAAGUUGACCGCCUGGGGAGUACGGCCGCAAGGUUAAAACUCAAAGGAAUUGACGGGGACCCGCACAAGCGGUGGAUGAUGUGGAUUAAUUCGAUGCAACGCGAAAAACCUUACCUACCCUUGACAUGCCAGGAACUUGCCAGAGAUGUCUUGGUGCCCGAAAGGGAGCCUGGACACAGGUGCUGCAUGGCUGUCGUCAGCUCGUGUCGUGAGAUGUUGGGUUAAGUCCCGCAACGAGCGCAACCCUUGUCGUUAAUUGCCAUCAUUUAGUUGGGCACUUUAACGAGACUGCCGGUGACAAACCGGAGGAAGGUGGGGAUGACGUCAAGUCCUCAUGGCCCUUAUGGGUAGGGCUUCACACGUCAUACAAUGGUCGGUACAAAGGGUUGCCAAGCCGCGAGGCGGAGCCAAUCCCAGAAAGCCGAUCGUAGUCCGGAUUGCAGGCUGCAACUCGCCUGCAUGAAGUCGGAAUCGCUAGUAAUCGUGGAUCAGCAUGUCACGGUGAAUACGUUCCCGGGUCUUGUACACACCGCCCGUCACACCAUGGGAGCGGGUUCCGCCAGAAGUAGGUAGCCUAACCGCAAGGGGGGCGCUUACCACGGCGGGGUUCGUGACUGGGGUGAAGUCGUAACAAGGUAGCCGUAGGGGAACCUGCGGCUG